rnacentral:misc_RNA from 1 species
UGUUGCGCAUUUCGUUUACCUCUCAUGAACAGACCCCGUCAAACCGAAUCUGCUAUUAUGUUGCUUGGUGGCAUUCCAUACUUCCAAAGGAUCUUUUCCAAUAAAUAAACAGAACACCUUUCAGGUAGAAAAGUUAUAAAAUGGUUGAUUGCUCCACAACAAUUCGCAGGAUGGAUAGAGUGAACAAAUGCCUCCUUAUGUCUAUUGCGUGCAUUGUGACAAUCAUAAAUAUGGGUCUCGUGUUUUCCUUCGGCAGUCUCUUUGUGGCCUUGAUGGAGAAAUUUCAGACAGAUCGGUCAACAACUGCAGCCGUGCAAUCACUUCUUGUAGGUGUGACUUUAAGUUUUGGUGUUGUAAGCGGCAUUCUUAUUUCAAGGAUAGGGAUUACCUUGGUGACGUUUAUUUCCGGUAUUUUGGUGACAGCAGGAUUUUGCAUGACUUACUUUGCAGUCAGUAUAUACUAUCUGUAUGUAAGCAUAGGAGUUGUCUCUGCUACAGGAAUAUCUAUGGCAUUCAUCAGUAGCUUGACAAUCGCUGGUCAAAUGUUUACUGGAACAGAAAGUCUGGUAUUUAUAUCUAUAUUAAAUACAUCCAUAUCAGUUGGCGCACUCAUUUAUCCGUUUUUCUUGGAAUGGCUUCGAGAAUGUUACGGACUUCUAGGGACAUAUCUUAUACUAGGCGGGAUCACUUGUAACACUUUCACCUUAUUUGUAAUUUGUUAUAUGAAUCAGCUGGUCGUGAAAGAAUCUGCAUCGAAAACCGGAUCAAUUGGUAACAUUAUCGAUAGCGUGGCAUCCAUACAGAAUUCUAAAGCACAUUCUAAACGAAAAAAUGUUCGAUAUUUUAGCGAUCUUAUUUCUGUUCCAUAUUUGUGUCUGCUAUUUGCCGUGGGAUUUUCGGUCGCCUGCAUUAAAUGGAUAUGUUGGACUUAUGUUAGACAUUUCAAUGUGGAAAGGUUUUAGUGAUUCUCAGGGUCUUUUAUCCAUGGAAGUGUACCAUCUGUCAGGUAUUAUACCUAGAUUUCUACCAGCAGUGGUCAAAUACAAGACAAAUAUUAGUGUUUUCGUUUGCGCAAUAAUAUCUGGCGCAUCAAGUUGUAUUGGUCAACUGAUGUUGUAUGUAACGUCUAGUUUUAUACCGUACGUAAUUGGAACGUGUUUAAGUGGUAUAGCUAUUGGCGGAAUAUUAUCAUCAUCGUUGGUCCUAAUUGUAGAAAUAGUUCGUCAGCAACAGAGACCACUAGCAUACGGACUACUUUAUACAGUGGAUGGGAUUCUGUCUACAGCCGCUGGGUAUCUUCUGGGGAAAUUUCGGGAUGUCUCUGAUUCAUAUGCCAGUGUAGUUCUCACAGUGUUUGGCUCACAGCUGUUAGCAAUUAUUCUUUUUUGCAUUGCUUUCGCUUCUUGGAAGCAUAAGGUGUCAAAGGCAAUGACACUCGACUCAAAAGAAGCGGAUUUGCUAACUCCUUCGAACCUACAAAAUGGGUGUUCGUAAGAAUGGUGAAUGGAUAUAUCUACCAGCAUUAGAAGAUUUCCUAUUAUGGUGGCAUUUCUUUGUGCUGAUGCAGAAGCAGAAUCUAAAGUUGUCAGACAGACGAGCAUGAAUUGAAACAGAAUGCCAGUCGGACGGAGAGAGUAUCUUUAUAAGUUUUAGGCUAAAUAAUAGGACAAGCAUUAAGUUCUCCUAUCCCAUCAACUACAAUUUAAAUCAAACAACGUGAACUAAAAUAUGAGCCGUGUCAUGAGAAAACCAACAUAAUCGCUUUGCGACUAGCAUGGAUCCAGACCAACCUGCGCAUCCGCGCAUUCUGGUCAGGAUCCAUGCUGUUCGCUUUCAAAGCCUAUUGCAAUUAGAGAAAACCGUUAGCGAACAGCAUGGAUCCUGACCAGACUGCGCGGAUGCGCAGGUUGGUCUGGAUCCAUGCUGGUCGCAAAGCCACUAUGUUGGUUUUCCCAUGGCACUACUCAUAUAUCGUCAGCACAUUUUGUUUAGAGCAUUUUAAACUUCUUUGGAAGUGUGUGUUCUUUGUAUUUGACAUAGUGCGGAUUACAGGUAAGGAUAGAUGCACUAUUAUUAGUUAUUGGGUUUGUUGGUGUUCCUUAGAAAUAUUAUUAGUACAUAUAUGUUAAACGGGAGGUGUGGCAUUAGCUGAGUCCCCAUACUUAUCACUCUACACCCACAUGUUUCCAUGGAAGGUCGCUAACAAAACCAUUAAAUGAUUUGUUUUAUCAACAACUCAUUUGUAGCCUAACACGACAUGAAAAUCUACUGACCGUCCACAGAAAUACAGGGGGUUACCAUGUGGCCACUCUUUUAACCGAUGGAAAUGCGAGAAUCUUGUGGAAAGUGAAACAAAAUCGUCUCAACAUCCCAAGUAGUGUGUUUUUUUCUAUUUGAGCCGCGCCAUGAGAAAAAAAACCAUAGGGCAUUUGCGGCCACCAUGGAUCCAGAAUCCAUGCUGUUCGCUUACUGUUUCUCAAAUUGCAGUAGGCUUUGAAAGCGAACGGCGUUGAUCCAGACCAGACUGCGCGGAUACGCAGGCUGAUCUGGACCCAUGCUGGUGGCAAAUGCACUAUGUUGAUUUUCUCAUGGUGCGGUUCAUAUUGCUACUUUUAUUUGUAGGGUUGUUUAUAUUCUUAAAAUAUUCUUAUUAUUUAACAAAUAUAUUUACUCAUAUUGAUUUGCUUUGUACAAUACAUAAGAUUUUGUUUAAUAUGUAUCACUUUGAUAUAGUUUCUGACCAAAUAAUUUGUCCUUGUAUAAUACAAUAACCAGUCUAGAAAAAGAACAACUGAACAUUCUAAACUAACCUUUAACCUGUUGUCGGCAAAUGAUUCUUCUUUUGCCACCAGUGCAGAUCAAGAUCAGCCUGCACAUCAUGGUCUGUAAUUUUCGUUUUUCAAUCUGUAAAUUUUCAGUGAAGACCCUUUCGAAUAAUAUAUCGUCCUUCCUUUAAUUGUAUGAUGGACCAGUCCAUUUUAGAAAUUUAGCAGGCUAAAGGCUAAACUGCUGACAUUCUUUCGAUAAUAUAAAAUUAUUA